rnacentral:rRNA from 1 species
AUAUCCGGCACGUUGAAGAACUCCAUAACCGCCUCGAAUGGCAGGUCGGGGCUGGGCAUCGGCGGCGAGAAGAGCGCCACCACCUUCCCCGCCGUGAGCUUCUUCCGCUGCGGGCAGCGCGGCGCGAGGAAUCUGGACCCGGGCACGAAGUAGGGCACGAAGGGCCCGCUCUCGCCGUCCCCGCCCGCCGCGGGCGCGGGAGCGGGAGGGGGGGAGGGGGACGGCUGCGGCGAGGCCGGGGCCGGGCGGGAGUAGGCCGGCUUCGAGCGGCGGCGGAGCCUGGCGUCGCGGAGGCGGGCGAGGGCGCCGGGGCGGAGGAAGCGGAGGUGGUCGCCGGCCGCGGCGGCGGCGGACGGGGAUCGGGGCUUGCGCGUGGCUGCCAUGUGGGGUCCGGGUGACGGUGGGAGGCGGAUUGGGCCAAUGGGAAGGGUGGGAUGCUGUGGAAGGAGGAGAGAGCGGCGGUAUUUGAAGGGGGGUUGGGGUAGGGUUGGGCGGGAGGCGCGACCCGUGGGAGGGAAAAGUUUUCGGGGGAAAUUCGUAUGUUUACUUCCAAAUCGGUAA